rnacentral:rRNA from 1 species
UCGAGAAACUGUAUCACCCUGCAGCCCAAGACUGGUUGCCCACUGAAGCUAAGCAGGGUUGAGCCUGGUCAGUACCUGGAUGGUAGACCUCCUGGGAAAACUAGGUUGCUGUUGGAA